rnacentral:piRNA from 1 species
UGAUGUUCUUGAAUCACCUUUGGUGUGUU